UCCUAGUUUCCUAGGCAGUCCCAUCAGAGUGCUUCCUCACGGAAUAGCAACUGAUAGCAAGGGUUGCGCUCGUUAAAGGACUUAACCCAACAUCUCACGACACGAGCUGACGACAGCCAUGCAGCACCUGUCUACAUGUCCAGGCUUACGCCUGGAAAACCAUAUUUCUACGGCGGUCAUGCACAUGUCAAACCCAGGUAAGGUUCCUCGCGUAGUAUCGAAUUAAACCACAUGUUCCACCGCUUGUGCGGACCCCCGUCAAUUUCUUUGAGUUUUAAUCUUGCGACCGUACUCCCCAGGCGGAUCACUUAUCGCGUUAGCUACGACACUAAUCCUGCAAAGCAAGACCAACGUCUAGUGAUCAUCGUUUACAGCGUGGACUAC
rnacentral:misc_RNA from 1 species